CUGGCUCCCUGGCUCUUCACCUUCAGCUGGGGCCGGUCCACAUGAGUAGCUCCCCCGAGGGCUCUCUCUUAGUUUGGAGAAGCUUCACAGAGCAAUUCAGCACCAUAGCAGAGGCUAUGGGCCAGCCAUGGGAAUCUGUGACAGGUGCCCACCAGCCUGUCCUUGAAACCUUUGGCCACCCCCAGAAGGAUUGUUUCCUCCCCCUUUAAGCAGGUGAGGAAAACUGGCUUGAGGCUGAGAAGUUACCUAAGAGCUGCAGUUAAGUAAUGGGUAGACCCUCUGAAGCCCAAGUGUGCUCCUCUGUUCACAUACCUCCAGUCUCUGCCAGCAGCAGGGAUGUGCUGCUUCUGAGGGCCCUCCCUAGGAAGUGCCCAUCGCCUGCAGAGUGGAUUUGGGAGAGGGCUGGUAUCACUGCCAGAGCAGGAGGCCCUGAUGGUGCCCAGGAGGUCAGGCAGCUGGGCACAAGUGCCCAAGGAGAGUGGAACCAAAUAAGACUGUUGAGCUUGGCCCGACCAGAGUGCCGUGCUGCUGAGGCUCAGCCUUGGUUAUUUAGGCAAGGACAACUAUCAUCCUUGCCUAAACUUGCUGAGGGGUCAACUUUGGGAUGAAGGGGUGAUUCCAGAGGCCCUUGGUCAAUUGUGUGUCCAGGAAUUCAGGGAUUCUGCUACAUCCCACCCUGAAGGCAGCCAUUACCCUCUCAGCUGGCCUCCUAGCCUGUCACAGAGACUGCAGGGGCUGCCCUCAUGGUACCUGCUAUAGCAGCCCACCCCUCAGACCACAGUCUGGUCAUCUACCUCCCAGGAAGCAAGAGGUUCACACAGUUACCCAGUCUGAAGACAGCCAGCUCUGCCCCUGGCUGAGGGGGGAUUUCCCAAGAAAUGGCUGCAUUUCUCCCUCCUGGGAGGGCUCAAUAUCCUCAAUCCCUGUGUAUAUCACCCAAGGAUCUUUUGCAGGGCCAGCUUGAAGAAUCUUAGCAGCCCUCACAAGGGGCCCCAUACUUGUAGAACAAGUGGGACAGGCUUGUCACUCAGAUCCCAAUCCACCAACAUUCAGGAAAUCACAUGCAAAGGGUAUGCCCACAGUCACAUUUCCCCAAAUGUCUGCUUGUUGGGGACAUGUGGGGUGCUCCUCCACAUGAACCCAUUUCCAGAACACUAUGACAGUGAAGUUUUCAUACUGUCAUCUUAAGUUGAGUGCUUUUCAAGAAAGCUUGUGCAAAG
rnacentral:lncRNA from 1 species